AGAGUUUGAUCAUGGCUCAGGAUGAACGCUGGCGGCGUGCCUAACACAUGCAAGUCGAACGAAGAGGCCCCUUCGGGGGUACUUCAGUGGCGGACGGGUGGGUAACACGUAGGCGACCUGCCCCGAAGCAGGGGAUAACGGCCCGAAAGGGCCGCUAAUACCCAAAAGGGUCACGAGUCACAUCGUGAUCAGAGUUACGGCGUUUCGGGAGGGGCCUGCGGCCCAUCAGCUAGUUGGUAGGGUAACGGCCUACCAAGGCAACGACGGGUAGGGGGCCUGAGAGGGUGAUCCCCCACAUUGGCACUGACACACGGGCCAAACUCCUACGGGAGGCAGCAGUGAGGAAUAUUGCACAAUGAGCGAAAGCUAGAUGCAGCAACGCCGCGUGGACGAUGAAGGCCUUCGGGUCGUAAAGUCCUUUUCAGGGGGACGAGUGAGGACGGUACCUCUGGAAUAAGUCACGGCUAACUACGUGCCAGCAGCCGCGGUAAAACGUAGGUGGCGAGCGUUAUCCGGAUUCACUGGGCGUAAAGCGCCUGCAGGCGGUCUCGUAAGUGGGAUGUGAAAUCUCUUGGCUCAACUGGGAGGGGCCAUUCCAUACUGCGGGACUUGAGGGCAGAAGAGGGAAGCGGAAUUCCCGGUGUAGUGGUGAAAUGCGUAGAUAUCGGGAGGAACACCAGUGGCGAAGGCGGCUUCCUGGCCUGCUCCUGACGCUAAGAGGCGAAAGCUAGGGGAGCGAACGGGAUUAGAAACCCCGGUAGUCCUAGCCGUAAACGAUGGAUACUGGGUGUCGGCGGUCCUAACCCCGUCGGUGCCGAAGCAAANCGCGUUAAGUAUCCCGCCUGGGGACUACGGCCGCAAUUGAAAAACUCAAAUGAAUUGACGG
rnacentral:rRNA from 1 species